GAAGUUGAGAAUGGGCUCAACAAAGGAUAUCAGAGCCCAAUCGGAUGGGGUGCAGUAGCAUUGAGAGAGUGUGCACGCAGGCCAAAAUCUCUUGGGCCAAAGGCCCAAGUCUCACCAACACCAUUAGGUUUCACAACAAAACUUCAGAGCGUACCUUCAAACUUUCCCCAAAAUGAGCGAUUGUGAGACCUCCCAGACCAACGGAAGCCGCUCACGUUAACCUCGUAUCAUUGAUGCCGGUACAUCAUCGAUGAGGGAGAAGAAUCACCUUCAAUCGGUAACGCAUGGUCGACGUAGAGCAAGAAUCAGCCUCAAUCAAGGAUCCACCGUCGGCGAAAAGCGAGAGUCAACCUUCAAUCGAAAAUGCGUUGUUGAUGAAAAUUGAUCGUUGACGAUGAUUGGGGUGGAGCGAUGCGUCGCCGCUUGAAGUGGAACGCAGAACGACGAUGCUCGAGUCGAAAGAUGAAGAACGGAAGCGAACCAAAUCCGAAAAGAUUACAGGUUUGAAGAGACUUGAUGGAAUGGAAGGUGGGUUGUAAUACAGCAAGGUUGGAGGCGCGCCCCUGUUCAAAGAGAUUUAAAUUUGAUUACCUGACUUUGGUCUUUAGGAUUUAUUUCCAUUUGUAGCAAAUUUCACUGUAAUUACCUUGGGUUUUUUUUAAGACAAAUGUAUGCUUGGAUUAUUUGGGACUUAUUGAAUUAAAUUUUAAUUAUGUAA